AGCCCCUGAGAGUGCUGUCAUUCCAAAGGAAUUUCUUUGUAAGCAUUUUAUUUUGAAUGUACUUAUAUAAUCCUCUAGUCGUUGUACCAAUUCUUUCAAGUCAUUACAAGCUACAAAGCAACUGAGUUUUGAGUUGAGUAAUUCUUUUUAUCUUAUUCCUGAUCACACUUCACCCCUUAAAACAUAACCAACAAACAAAAACCCCAAACAAACUAACAACAAAAACCACCUACACUUGUCAAUGCCCUCAGAACUAAGAGCAGGCUAUUCACCAUGUUCUGUGGUGACCUAAAAUCUCUUCACUGAAACACUGCCACUUUCCUAGAACUCUAUAGGGAUUUUUUUCCCUUCAUUUAAAAGGCCCAGUAAUUGAAGAUUUCAGAGUGUUCUGUUAUCUCAUUGGGAACUUAAGAUUACUCAGUAUUCUUGUGCACUGCCUAUUAUGAUGUCCCCAUUGUUUCUAAAACAGGUAUAUAUGUUAUAUUUGUUGCAGAGUACCUUAGCUCUUGCUCUUUUUUCUAUCUUCUGAAAGAAUAUUGGUAAUUUCAAUAAUUCCCCUAUGUAUUCUUGAAUUUGACUGACACAUGCAUUUAUGUGAGACUGUUGGCCCAAGGUAAAACUAACGAGGUCCUUUCUGUGCUCAGUGCUGCAUGCUCAGAAUUAUUCUAUGUAAGUUAGUUUUCAAUGAAUAGCUGACAGUAGAUAACAAAGCAGAGUCACCAAUGCAAAUUAUGCUUAGAAAUUUCAAAAGUGAGAACAUUGAAAAAACAAAACAACAAAAAACAAAACAAAACAAAAAAACAAGCAUCCAAUCCCACUGUAGUGAAUGUUAUAAAUACAUAAUCCUUGGAUGCCAUAAAGUCCAGGUUGGGCUUAUUGGUAAGAAUAUAUCAAUCAUGAUAUAUUCAAAUUGUAAUUCACCUAAAGUAAUCCUCAAAAUACUGGAGGAGUUCUAUAGCAUAUGGUACCUGAUUUUUCCUGAAGUUUGGGUAUGAAAAAAAAAAAAAAAAACAGGAUUAAUGGAAUUAAACUUUCCAUUGAUUUCAGUGGUGAACUUGAAUUGUACCUUGAAUGGGCCUGUGUUGCAAUUAUGAUGACUAUCUUUCCUGGGUCCAUGAAUCAGCCAGUACUGUCUGGCAAGGAACUGUAAAACUUGAGCUGAAAGUAGUAGUUUUGAGUAUGGUUGCAUGUGAAUAAAGGCAAUAUAGCAAACAACAUUUGUAAUCAUUAUAUAUCUAUUACCAGUCUUUAGUUUUGUGGCAACAACCCAUUGAGUGUUGCCUUCUUGCUAGAGAAUGGCAGGGGUC
rnacentral:lncRNA from 1 species